GGGGCGAACCCGGGUUCGGGUCGCACGCGGGGGAGAUGCGCGCGCACCCGCGGCGGUUUUGUUUUUGCUCCACGUGCGGACUUCCCUCUCCGCGGGCGUUCUUAAGAAGUCCCCACUGGAGUUGUACGGCUCUUACUCCCCAAGUAAACAAGUCCUGGUUUUGCAGCCAGCUUGGUAAAAACACUGUGAAAAGUAAUCUCGUUGCCAUUGAAAGUGCAGAAAACUGGUCCUCCUAUCUGCAGUCAUUGAGGAUGAACUGAGACUUCCAAGCGUGGCUACAGCACUCAGUCACAGGAAUCAUGCUGGCAGCUUGACUUCUUCCUUUUGGACAUUCAUGGUACCUUCUGACUGAAUCUUGGCUGACCUGGAAAGCUGCAGAAGGAGAGAGUGAGAUGGAAGGAGCAGGCCGAAAGCACAGUUUCCCAGCCAUUUGACUACCUUCAUUCCAGGGAGACUUGUAGCUCCGUAUCUGCACUUCAUGAAGACCAGCAUCCUGAUAUGUAGCCUGUAUUGCUUUGCAGGGCAAAGACAACGUAAUUCAAGAUGGCUGUUCUAAGGAUUCUUGACAUCUAUUACAGUGAAUGCUGUUGAAGAGAAUUAUUUUAAGAAAUGGAAAAGCUUUGUAAGCAUAACAAUGGAUACAACUGCCAUUAGUGCCAUUUAAAAGGACCUGAUCCUUCUUACAGCAGAGGUUGGGGAGGUAGAAGAAAAUACCUGCCAUUGGUAUCAGACAAGUCAAGCCAAUAAAUGCAGAUCUUUCCUUUU